rnacentral:tRNA from 1 species
GGUUCAGUGGCCUAGUGGUAAGGCAUCUGUCCGGUAACCAGGAGACCCGGUUCGAUUCCCGGCUGAGCCA